rnacentral:rRNA from 1 species
UACGUAGGGUGCGAGCGUUGUCCGGAAUUAUUGGGCGUAAAGAGCUCGUAGGCGGCUUGUCACGUCGGUUGUGAAAGCCCGGGGCUUAACCCCGGGUCUGCAGUCGAUACGGGCAGGCUAGAGUUCGGUAGGGGAGAUCGGAAUUCCUGGUGUAGCGGUGAAAUGCGCAGAUAUCAGGAGGAACACCGGUGGCGAAGGCGGCAUCCUGGAACAACACUGACACUGAGGAGCGAAAGCCAGGGGAGCAAACGGG